rnacentral:lncRNA from 1 species
AUCACCAUCUCCCCCACCAACCUACUAUUAGUAUUCAAAUCCUUCUCUUGAAUCAUUUUCCACCAUCUUCACCCCAUCACCAUCUCCCCCACCAACCUACUAUUAGUAUUCAAAUCCUUCUCUUGAAUCAUUUUCCACCAUCUUCAUGAUUUAUUAACUCCUUUUCAUCCUCCAUCAGAGUAUUACCGUUUCCUUUUCCAAAAUUUUAUGUAUGCUUCCCAAAAUGAUCGGCUUGCAUGCUGUGUGUUCUUUUGUUCUAAUAAUUCGUGAUAUUUAUCAUUUGAGAUUUCCA